rnacentral:rRNA from 1 species
CUCGUAGGCGGCCAACUAAGUCAGACGUGAAAUCCCUCGGCUCAACCGGGGAACUGCGUCUGAUACUGGAUGGCUUGAGAUUGGGAGAGGGAUGCGGAAUUCCAGGUGUAGCGGUGAAAUGCGUAGAUAUCUGGAGGAACACCGGUGGCGAAGGCGGCAUCCUGGACCAACACUGACGCUGAGGAGCGAAAGCCAGGGGAGCAAACGGGAUUAGAUACCCGGUAGUCCUGGCCCUAAACGAUCGAAUGCUUGGUGUGACGGGUAUCGAUCCCUGUCGUGCCGAAGCUAACGCAUUAAGCAUUCCGCCUGGGGAGUACGGUCGCAAGGCUGAA